CACAGAGAGCUUGCUCUCGGGUGACGAGCGGCGGACGGGUGAGUAAUGUCUGGGAAACUGCCUGAUGGAGGGGGAUAACUACUGGAAACGGUAGCUAAUACCGCAUAACGUCGCAAGACCAAAGUGGGGGACCUUCGGGCCUCAUGCCAUCAGAUGUGCCCAGAUGGGAUUAGCUAGUAGGUGGGGUAACGGCUCACCUAGGCGACGAUCCCUAGCUGGUCUGAGAGGAUGACCAGCCACACUGGAACUGAGACACGGUCCAGACUCCUACGGGAGGCAGCAGUGGGGAAUAUUGCACAAUGGGCGCAAGCCUGAUGCAGCCAUGCCGCGUGUGUGAAGAAGGCCUUCGGGUUGUAAAGCACUUUCAGCGGGGAGGAAGGCGAUAAGGUUAAUAACCUUGUCGAUUGACGUUACCCGCAGAAGAAGCACCGGCUAACUCCGUGCCAGCAGCCGCGGUAAUACGGAGGGUGCAAGCGUUAAUCGGAAUUACUGGGCGUAAAGCGCACGCAGGCGGUCUGUCAAGUCGGAUGUGAAAUCCCCGGGCUCAACCUGGGAAC
rnacentral:rRNA from 1 species